rnacentral:rRNA from 1 species
UACAGAGGUCUCAAGCGUUGUUCGGAUUCAUUGGGCGUAAAGGGUGUGUAGGUGGCGCCGUAAGUCGGGUGUGAAAUUUCGGAGCUUAACUCCGAAACUGCAUUCGAUACUGCGGUGCUUGAGGACUGGAGAGGAGACUGGAAUUCAUGGUGUAGCAGUGAAAUGCGUAGAGAUCAUGAGGAAGACCAGUGGCGAAGGCGGGUCUCUGGACAGUUCCUGACACUGAGGAGCGAAAGCAUGGGGAGCGAACAGG